rnacentral:rRNA from 1 species
AGGGUGUAAACGCUGCGGGCUUGGUGUUGGGGGUCCUUUGAGGGCGCCCAGUGCCGGAGAGAAGUUGUUAAGCCUGCUGCUUGGGGAGUACGUCCGCAAGGAUGAAACUUAAAGGAAGUUGGCGGGGGAGGCACCGCAACGGGAGGAGCGUGCGGUUCAAUUGGAUUCAACGCCGGACAACUCACCAGGAGCGACGGUUACAUGAAGGCCAGGCUGAUGACCUUGCCUGAUUUUCCGAGAGGAGGUGCAUGGCGUCAGUGACU